ACUCAUGUUUCUCUUCAUAUCGUAUAAAUCUUUUGCCUUUUACUAAAGAUUCCCGUGGAGAGGAACACUAUGAAUAUAAACAAAUUUUUAGAAGCCCUGCUGAAAGGCGGGGCC